rnacentral:rRNA from 1 species
GACAGUUCGGUCCCUAUCUGCCGUGGGCGCUGGAGAACUGAGGGGGGCUGCUCCUAGUACGAGAGGACCGGAGUGGACGCAUCACUGGUGUUCGGGUUGUCAUGCCAAUGGCACUGCCCGGUAGCUAAAUGCGGAAGAGAUAAGUGCUGAAAGCAUCUAAGCACGAAACUUGCCCCGAGAUGAGUUCUCCCUGACCCUUUAAGGGUCCUGAAGGAACGUUGAAGACGACGACGUUGAUAGGCCGGGUGUGUAAGCGCAGCGAUGCGUUGAGCUAACCGGUACUAAUGAACCGUGAGGCUUAACCUUACAACGCCGAAG